rnacentral:rRNA from 1 species
UUAAGCAUAUCAAUAAGCGGAGGAAAAGAAAAUAACUAUGAUUCCCUUAGUAACGGCGAGUGAACAGGGAAAAGCCCAAAUUUGUAAUCUGGCACUUUUUACAAGUGUCCGAGUUGUAAUUUGUAGAACUGUUAUCCGCGCUGGACCAUGUACAAGUCUGUUGAAAAGCAGCAUCAUUGAAGGUGAAAAUCCUGUAGAUGAUAUGGACUACCAGUGCAUUUGUGAUACGGUUUCUAAGAGUCGAGUUGUUUGGGAAUGCAGCUCAAAGUGGGUGGUAAAUUCCAUCUAAGGCUAAAUAUAAGUGAGAGACCGAUAGCAAACAAGUACCGUGAGGGAAAGAUGAAAAGAACUUUGAAAACAGAGUUAACAGUACGUGAAAUUGCUGAAAGGGAAACGUUUGAAGUUAGUUUUGUAUUCGUUGGAUCAGCUUCGCAAGGAGUGUAUUCUGAUGAUAAGCAAGUCAACAUCAAUCUAUGAGUGUCGGAGAAGGGUUUUGAGAAUGUAGCAAUUUUUAUUAAUUGUGUUAUAGCUUGAGACUUGGAUACGAUGCUUUGGAUUGAGGAACGCGUAGUAAGCUUUGAGCGGAUUCGAAAGGAUCUCCUUACUAUGGAUGUUGGUGAAAUAACUUUAAGCGACCCGUCUUGAAACACGGACCAAGGAGUCUAACAUGCUUGCGAGUAUUAGGGUGUUGAAACCCGAAUGCGUAAUGAAAGUGAAUUUCAGAUGUGAUCUGCAAGGUGCAACAUCGACCAGUCUGGAUCAUUUAUGUGAAGGUACUGAGUAAGAGCAAGUAUGUUAGGACCCGAAAGAUGGUGAACUAUGCCUGGAUAGGGUGAAGUCAGAGGAAACUCUGAUGGAAGCUCGUAGCGGUUCUGACGUGCAAAUCGAUCGUAGAAUCUGGGUAUAGGGGCGAAAGACUAAUCGAACCAUCUAGUAGCUGGUUCCUGCC